UACCGCUAGGGGAGCACAUCGCUGAGACUGUAGGCUACUAGCCUCUGACCCUUAUUACUUGAACCGGAUAAUACCGGCGGAAGGAAGCUUGA
rnacentral:ncRNA from 1 species